rnacentral:lncRNA from 1 species
UUUUUCCCUUUUCUUUGAACCCCCUCCCCUCCACCCUCGCCACAGCUUAUUAGUCACAUACUUAUUUGAAUCUUAUCUACGUGUUAGAUUUCUGUGUUUCAUGUCUAGAAUGCUCACAUCUGGAGGAGGAAAUGCAGAAUGACUGUCAAGCAAAUAUCUCAGAAUGUUCCCAGUAUUGUGAUUUGCUUUUAAUCCCCUUGUGAGGUAGGAUUUUUGUCUGGAAGCUGAUAUGUUCAUUGAUUAAGUAGCACACAGUGUGAGCCAAGAAAUCUUUAGUCCCUA